AACGAACGCUGGCGGCAUGCCUAACACAUGCAAGUCGAACGAGACCUUCGGGUCUAGUGGCGCACGGGUGCGUAACGCGUGGGAACCUGCCCUUAGGUUCGGAAUAACUCCCCGAAAUGGGUGCUAAUACCGGUUAAUGUCUUCGGACCAAAGAUUUAUCGCCUUUGGAUGGGCCCGCGUUGGAUUAGCUAGUUGGUAGGGUAAAAGCCUACCAAGGCGACGAUCCAUAGCUGGUCUGAGAGGAUGAUCAGCCACACUGGGACUGAGACACGGCCCAGACUCCUACGGGAGGCAGCAGUGGGGAAUAUUGGACAAUGGGCGAAAGCCUGAUCCAGCAAUGCCGCGUGAGUGAUGAAGGCCUUAGGGUUGUAAAGCUCUUUUACCCGGGAUGAUAAUGACAGUACCGGGAGAAUAAGCUCCGGCUAACUCCGUG
rnacentral:rRNA from 1 species